rnacentral:rRNA from 1 species
AUUGAACGCUGGCGGCAUGCCUUACACAUGCAAGUCGAACGGCAGCGGGCCUUCGGGUGCCGGCGAGUGGCGAACGGGUGAGUAAUGCAUCGGAACGUGCCAUUGAGUGGGGGAUAACGUAGCGAAAGUUGCGCUAAUACCGCAUAUUCUGUGAGCAGGAAAGCAGGGGACCGCAAGGCCUUGCGCUCUUUGAGCGGCCGAUGUCAGAUUAGCUAGUUGGUGAGGUAAAGGCUUACCAAGGCGACGAUCUGUAGCGGGUCUGAGAGGAUGAUCCGCCACACUGGAACUGAGACACGGUCCAGACUCCUACGGGAGGCAGCAGUGGGGAAUUUUGGACAAUGGGGGCAACCCUGAUCCAGCCAUGCCGCGUGAGUGAAGAAGGCCUUCGGGUUGUAAAGCUCUUUCGGCCGGGAAGAAAUCGCAUGGGUGAAUACCCUGUGUGGAUGACGGUACCGGAACAAGAAGCACCGGCUAACUACGUGCCAGCAGCCGCGGUAAUACGUAGGGUGCGAGCGUUAAUCGGAAUUACUGGGCGUAAAGCGUGCGCAGGCGGUUUGGUAAG